UGGCCCUUUCCCACUGCUCAUUUUUUUGUAAAUAGCACUCUUUAUCUGUUUCCCAUUUUAACUCCUUCAUUAUUUUCCCUGGGCUUAAUUUGUCAUUUCCCCUCCAAACCCAGCUUUAGAAAUUUGCAUUUAGGAGCUGAAUUGUCUCAUCAAUUUUUCAGGAUAGCUUUUUGUUGUUAAUUUGUAUGCUUUCAUGAUGAAAACUGUGCACAAAUCAUUUCGUAUAUGAAUCCUUUUAAAUAAUAGCUAAGUAGGAUUUUUUUUUUAAUACUCCACAGCUUUGUAGAACAAUGCUCAGUGAUCAGGCUCGUAGAAAAGCCGAUCCUGUCUUAAGAGGGCUUUUGCCAGCUGCACAGAGACAGUCUCACUUGAAAAUAUUGAUUUUAAGAUGCUCUGAUUGUACUAAAAUUUUAUAAAAAUGGCAUGUCCUGAAAGAUAGCAAUUUACUUAUUCCACAAGGUAAUAUGUUUAAAAAAUGGGAACCUUAAGGCUCAGGAUACAUUUUUCUAAUGUUAAUCUCCACGUUGAUUUCAUUUUAUGAUGAGUUUUAUGUACAUGUAUGUAUUACCAUAUAUUUAAACAUCUUUUUUUCUCUGUGUACCAGUGAUAACUGAAAAAAAUUACUUUCUCUUGUGUCUGUAAAUUGAUUCUGAAGAGGUGGGAAGGGUAUAUGACAGUAGCAUGCUUCCGUGCACAGCACUUUUCAUAAUUUACAGGGAGGGCAGCCUCUCAUGCUGGCUCUCUCUCACAGGUGGUGGGGAUCCUGGACAAGUUCUAGGCCAGCAGCAAGGCUGCUCUGGGGCUGAAUUUUAUCCAGGAGCUCAUCUCCAGGCUCCGGCACUGCCCUAAGUGGGUUGGAAGGCAGGCUUUCACUUUCAUCUGUCAGGCCGUGAUCCGUGAGGAGUGCAUCUCCGUGGACCAGUUUGUGGAACACCUGCUUCCCAGUCUUCUUAGCCUGGCAUUGGAUCCUGUACCCAACGUGAGAGUUCUGCUGGCCGAAGCCCUGUGGCAAACACUGCUGGAGAAGGCAUAAUUUAGAAAUGCUGGGGACCUUCAUCUUGAAGUUGUUGAAGAGCCCAUCUUGGCUCUGUGGUCUGACCCAGACCAAGAUGCUUCCUUUUUAGCCACCCUGGAACCAAGGCGGCAGAAUGUUACAGACACAACUAUACUGGAAAACCAGAACUAACUCCUCUGUGAAGAAUGCGCAUGGCUGUUUCGCAGUGUACAUACGACUUAUAACUUGAAGGGGAACUGAGAAUUGCCGAAGGAGAAAAAACCAAAAGUUUUCUGUUGUGUAUCAUGUGACUGAGUACCGUGUGCAGCCAAAGGGACUAAAACUUAGGUGGAAUCUUAUUUCAGAUGAUCAGACCAGCUCCUGCUCCCUACCCCAAAAAGAUCUGAUCUGUGGCAGUCUAUAGAAAGGGUGUAGGCCCAGGCACCGUUGGUGGCUGUUGAGGUUCCACGCCAUCAGAUUGUGGAGAGUAGGAUUUUGUUUGUUUUUAAAAGACACUUUAUUAUUUAAAAAUCCCUCCUCAGAGCCAGGUAUAGUGGUGUACAUCUGUAAUCCCAGUACACAGGAGGCUGAGGCAGGAGAAUCAAGAAGUUCAAGUCAGUCUAGAGAAUUCCAGGCUUGCUUGAGCUAUAUAUAACAAGACUCCUUCCCAAAGAAACUGAACAUAAAGUCCCUCUCAGCAAUAAAACAGGUUAUUAGAAGCUUGUCUUUAUUAGACUUGCAUAUGUGCUUCCCUAAUGCUUUCUGAUAAAAUUUGGUUUAUAUUUUAUUUCCAAUUGAAGUAUUGUACAUAUGUAAAUAACCUGAAAGGAAGAAAAUGUAUGAAUAUAAUAUUAGCCUCCUAUCAGUGAGCUGAGCAAAUGUCACUUAAAUUUAUGGCCCACUUUGGAGUUGCUGGAAAUAUAGCUUGGUUUGUUUACUUUUGAAAAAUGUAAUAGUAAAAGAAACCUAGUAAAGAGUGGUUUAUGGCCGUC